CUUGAGUCUCCUGAAGGAACGUUGAAGACGACGACGUUGAUAGGUCGGGUGUGUAAGCGCAGCGAUGCGUUGAGCUAACCGAUACUAAUGAACCGUGAGGCUUAACCUU
rnacentral:rRNA from 1 species